rnacentral:rRNA from 1 species
GGUCAAGUUUCUAAGAGCAAACGGUGGAUGCCUUGGCAUCUGGAGCCGAAGAAGGACGUAGAAAUCUGCGAUAAGCCUCGGGGAGCUGAUAAUCGAGCUGUGAGCCGAGGAUUUCCGAAUGGGGAAACCCCGCCAGGCGCUUUUGUGACCUGGUGACUCCCGCCUGAAUAUAUAGGGCGGGUAGAGGGAACGUGGGGAAGUGAAACAUCUCAGUACCCACAGGAAGAGAAAACAACAUGUGAUUCCGUGAGUAGUGGCGAGCGAAAACGGAUGAGGCUAAACCGAUCAUGUGUGAUAGCCGGCGGGCGUUGCAUGGUCGGGGUUGUGGGACACGUCACUCAGUUCUGCCGGACUGGGACGGUUACAGCGCAUCAUAGUCGAACCGGUUUGAAAGCCGGGCCGUAGUGGGUGCCAGCCCCGUAGACGAAAUGGUGUUAUGGCCGGAUGUGUAUCCCAAGUAGCACGGGGCCCGAGAAAUCCCGUGUGAAUCUGUCAGGACCACCUGAUAAGCCUAAAUACUCCCAGAUGACCGAUAGCGGACAAGUACCGUGAGGGAAAGGUGAAAAGUACCCCGGGAGGGGAGUGAAAUAGUACCUGAAACCGUUUGCUUACAAACCGUCGGAGCCUCCUUUGUAGGGGUGACGGCGUGCCUUUUGAAGAAUGAGCCUGCGAGUUAGCGAUAUGUGGCGAGGUUAACCCGUGUGGGGUAGCCGUAGCGAAAGCGAGUCUGAAUAGGGCGAUUCAGUCGCAUGUCCUAGACCCGAAGCGAAGUGAUCUAUCCAUGGCCAGGUUGAAGCGACGGUAAGACGUCGUGGAGGACCGAACCCACUUCAGUUGAAAAUGGAGGGGAUGAGCUGUGGAUAGGGGUGAAAGGCCAAUCAAACUUCGUGAUAGCUGGUUCUCUCCGAAAUGCAUUUAGGUGCAGCGUUGCGUGUUUCUCGCCGGAGGUAGAGCUACUGGAUGGCCGAUGGGCCUCAACAGGUUACUGACGUCAGCCAAACUCCGAAUGCCGGUGAGUGAGAGCGCAGCAGUGAGACGGUGGGGGAUAAGCUUCAUCGUCGAGAGGGAAACAACCCAGACUACCAACUAAGGUCCCUAAGCGUGUGCUAAGUGGGAAAGGAUGUGGAGUUGCACAGACAACCAGGAGGUUGGCUUAGAAGCAGCCACCCUUGAAAGAGUGCGUAAUAGCUCACUGGUCAAGUGAUUCCGCGCCGACAAUGUAACGGGGCUCAAGCACACCACCGAAGUUGUAGAUUUCGCACACUCGACAAGCCUUCGUGGUUCAGUCGUGCGGAGUGGUAGGAGAGCGUCGUGUGGCGAGUGAAGCGGCGGAGUGAUCCAGCCGUGGACGCUACACGAGUGAGAAUGCAGGCAUGAGUAGCGAAAGACGGGUGAGAAACCCGUCCUCCGAAAGACCAAGGGUUCCAGGGCCAGGUUAAUCCGCCCUGGGUAAGUCGGGACCUAAGGCGAGGCCGACAGGCGUAGUCGAUGGACAACGGGUUGAUAUUCCCGUACCGGCGAACAACCGCCCAAGCUAAUCCAGUGGUGCUAAGAGUCCUAACCCGGUACUUGUUGAUCCCUUCGGGGUGAGACGGGCCGGUCUAACGCUCGA